rnacentral:rRNA from 1 species
UACAGAGGUCUCAAGCGUUGUUCGGAUUCAUUGGGCGUAAAGGGUGCGUAGGCGGCGCGGUAAGUCGGGUGUGAAAUCUCGGAGCUUAACUCCGAAACUGCAUUCGAUGCUGCCGUGCUUGAGGACUGGAGAGGAGACUGGAAUUUACGGUGUAGCGGUGAAAUGCGUAGAUAUCAGGAGGAACACCAAUGGCGAAGGCAGCACUCUGGGACGUGACUGACGCUGAGACGCGAAAGCGUGGGGAGCAAACAGG